AAGAGCCUAAAUACCCUAAAAGCACCAGAUCCCACCUGAUAUUGGAAGCUAAAUGAGGUCAGCCCUAGUUAAUACUUGGAUAGGAAGCUGCCAACAAAUAACUGGGGCUGCAGGCUAUUU
rnacentral:rRNA from 11 species